AGAAAGAAAUGUAAUAUUCCAAAAAUAUUAUUUUUCUUCAUAUUGAUUAUUACUUUUCUUCAUAAUAAUAAUUACUUUGAAAUAACUUGAAAUAAAUAACAUUUAAAAAAUACAUAUGAAGAAAACUAAAAAGUAAAUUAAAAAAAUUAAAGAAAAUAGGAAAUGAAAACAAAAAUGAAAAGAAAACUGAAAGAAAAACGUAAAGAGCAAAAAAAACUCACCUAUUAAAAAAACAGAAAAAGAUAAAGAAAACAGAAAAUGAAAAUGGAUGAAGAAAACAGAAAAUGAAAAUGUUAGCAAAAGUAGGUUUCAAACCCAUUAUCUCAGGGAGAAACUAGCACUUAAAGGCGCAACAACCAACCAUUG
rnacentral:lncRNA from 1 species